UAAUGAGGGAAGGAUGAAGAUGGACAAAGAUGGAAGACCAGUGUAAAUGGUUUCAGUUGUGUGAAUAGCCUUUGGAGUAAACAUGGGAAGUUGCUUGGUGCCCGCAGAAGAUGAUGGGCUACAGGGUAAAGAAGAAAAGACAACGUUCUCCAACAUCAUGUGUUAAUAAGAAGGAAAAGGUUUGCUGUAUAUCUGAGAAGGCACGGGAAAAGCAAAGGAAAGACAACCUGGAAGGCCCAAAAUUUGAGAAGAACUUGGCAGAAGUUUGAAAGACACUGGAUACACAGAUGCUCAGGAUGAAGAGAUAACACCUUCUGGCUCAUCUUCUUUUUGCUUUUAAUCUACUGCUCUUCCAAAAAUAAAUUUUCAUUUCCUGUGAAUGUUACAGAAUGGUUUAGGUUCAUUGAGUGUAAGAACUAGGCACUUGGGAAGCAAAUAUAUUGCUUUUCUGUAAACUGAGUAGUAAGAGUAAAUAUCUCUAUCACAAU
rnacentral:lncRNA from 1 species